rnacentral:snRNA from 1 species
UGAUGUGAGGGCGAUCUGGCUGCGACAUCUGUCACCCCAUUGAUCGCCAGGGUUGAUUCGGCUGAUCUGGCUGGCUAGGCGGGUGUCCCCUUCCUCCCUCACCGCUCCAUGUGCGUCUCACCCGAAGCUGCACGCUCGGUCGAAGAGGACGACCUUCCCCGAUAGAGGAGAGGACCGUUCUUCGGUCAAGGGUAUAUGAGUAGCUGCGCUCCCCUGCUAGAACCUCCAAACAAGCUCUCAAGGUCUAUUAUCUUUCACAGAACAGAAAUUUGUAAUUUAAAUGAAGUAUAUAUAGCUUAUCAAUUCUUUCAUGGAUCAUGCCUUUGGUGUUCUAUCUAAAAAG